rnacentral:rRNA from 1 species
AGCCCUAAGAAUAAUUUGGGGUGAUGCCUGCCCAAUGGUUAAUUCCUUUUUUUUAAUAAAAAAAUUAUAUAACUUAAUGGCCGCAGUAUUCCUGACUGUGUUAAGGUAGCACAAUCAAUCGCCGCUUAAUUAGCGGAUAGUAUGAAUGGUAAUACGAAAAUUUCACUGUCUCAAAUAUAGAACUAAAAAAAUUGAAAUAAUAGUUAAGAUGCUAUUUAAAAUCGUAAGACGAUAAGACCCUAUAAAGCUUAACUACAAUUCUUAAUUACUAAUCAUACUUAAGAAAAAGGUAGUUUACUUGGGGCAAGGACUUUUUAAAAAUAAAAAAAGUAGGCAAAAUUAAUAUAACAUUUAUUGUAUAAAAAACAUUUUUAACAAUCACAAUGUGGGCUAUAAUGACCCGUUUAAUCUUAAAAAAAAGAUAAACAAUUAUUGAAUAAAAGCUACUUUAGGGAUAACAGGAUAAUUUCAUCAUAGAGUCCAUAUCACUGAUGAAGUUUAUCACCUCGAUGUUGAAUUAAGAUUCCCUGGCGGAGCAGAAACUGCCAAAGGUAGGUCUGUUCGACCUUUAAAUAUCUUA